AAUUAGAUUUUCAUAGUACAGGCAUAUCAAUGGGAUUUUGAGCUUUUAUGUAGGUCCUAUUUACCCACUGAACUCUCAUUAUUCACAUAUGACAAGGUAAAAUCGGUUUUGCAUUCUAUCACCC